rfam:Candidatus Omnitrophica bacterium 4484_213 ex4484_213_scaffold_16897, whole genome shotgun sequence.
CAUUCCUUUUAAGUUAGUCCGGUGAGACUAAUAAAGGAGAAAAUGGAAAAUUUACUCCGCACCUUUUUAUCUAAGAGGAAAUUAUAUAGCCCUUGGUUUCAUAAUUGUGGAAUCAAGGGCUAUUUUUUUA